UCCCAUCUCGAACACGGAAGUUAAGCUCUUUAGCGUCGAUGGUACUGCAUGGGUGACUGUGUGGGAGAGUAGAUCGCUGCCGGAU
rnacentral:rRNA from 1 species